rnacentral:tRNA from 1 species
GCGGGAAUAGCUCAGUUGGUAGAGCGUGACGUUGCCAACGUCAAGGUCGCCAGUUCGAACCUGGUUUCCCGCUCCA